AUACUGCAUGAAAGUUCUGUACUAGUCCAUCUGCUCCAGGGUGUGGCUACAUCAUAAAUGCAGACAGUGCACCUGGUUUCUUCACAGGUAGACUCAUCAAGCAACAGUUUUUGUGCUCUUAUUCCUGAGAACAAUGGCAGAUAACCCAGAUAAACCACCACAGUGUGAUAAGGGCAAGAAAGGAUGCCACGAGGAGGGCAAAGGUAAAGGAAAGGAACAAGGAGAUUGUCAAGGCAAGGGUCAAGGACAUGGACAUGGACAUGGACAUGGACACGGUCAAGGCCAAGGACAAGAAAAAGGAAAGGAAUUCAAAGGCAAAAAAUAAUGUUAAAAAGCUGAUUGAAUAUACUUCUGAAGUCUGUCUUUUCCUUGCAUGAUCAUCAAUAAUGAAAUAAAACAUGUAUUAGUAAUCAACAUAUAUUUGUUAAUUGUCAAUUAACUUAUCAUCAAUAAAGUGUUGGUAUUUAAGAAUGGCUUAAUGAAUCAGAUGUACAAUAAAA